rnacentral:rRNA from 1 species
CCUACGGGAGGCAGCAGUGAGGAAUAUUGGUCAAUGGGCUUACGCCUGAACCAGCCAAGUCGCGUGAGGGAAGACUGCCCUAUGGGUUGUAAACCUCUUUUGUCAGGGAGCAACGCCGGCUACGUGUAGCCGGACUGAGAGUACCUGAAGAAAAAGCAUCGGCUAACUCCGUGCCAGCAGCCGCGGUAAUACGGAGGAUGCGAGCGUUAUCCGGAUUUAUUGGGUUUAAAGGGUGCGUAGGCGGAAUGCCAAGUCAGCGGUAAAAGCGCGGGGCUCAAGCUCGCUCCGCCGUUGAAACUGGCGUUCUUGAGUGGGCGAGAAGUAUGCGGAAGGCGUGGUGUAGCGGUGAAAUGCAUAGAUAUCACGAAGAACUCCGAUUGCGAAGGCAGCAUACCGGCGCCCAACUGACGCUGAAGCACGAAAGCGUGGGUAUCGAACAGGAUUAGAUACCCUAGUAGUC